UUAUGAUCCUUUGGUAAUGAUCAUUUGGUAAUGAUCUACCGAACGGAGUAUCUCGUGUCCUGUAGUCGAGAGACUUCUUUACGUACGGCCCUGGAUUUUGUCGGUGAAUUAUGGACUCAACGGCUCAACGUGCACGUCGCGGCAUUAAUUCGGUCUAUCGCUCGAACAAACACAUGUCGGAUUACUUGUCCUGCUCUGUUGGUGUUUACAAGUAUGUAUGUACCAAAGAAGAGAAGGAAAGAACCGAAGAAAGAGGAAGAUGAGGAUGAAGAAAAGGCUCCAAGGGAAGAAAGAGAAGAUGAAGAACACGAAUAAGAAAUAGAAGAAGAAGAAGAAGAAGAAGAAGAAGAAGAAGAGAAGUCGAACGAAAAAGGAAAGCGAAGAGAUCGAGACAAGUCUGUUCUUUCAUUAAUCAACGAUUAAGCCUCUGGCCUCGUCCUUUAUGAAUUAUUAUGAUACCACAUCUCACGACAUCGCCAUCAGUCACGACCUGUCGUGUAUCUCGCAUGCUUGAUUUAUCUUCGGAGCAUUAUCAUCUGGCACUUUGACAUUUUGUUUAAAUGGAUAAAAGUGGUUAAUGUCGUUUCUCCUUGAGAGGGAUGAAGCUUUGCGGCUGGAGGAUUGCGGAUAUAGCUACGAAGUUGGUAUAUGUAUGUAGUUACGUAUUAUAUGGGCUACGAUUUGCUUUCGAUCAAGAUUUAUUUUCUAGGAAGCAUCGAUCGCGUGUAACGAUUACAUUUAUUUUAAACGGAAGUUUAUUUCCAUAAAUACAAUCAUUGCAUGCAGUCGUCGCAAUGCUCUAGAUAACAUGUGUGACUUUAUUUCUAUUCAUAUAUAUAAUCAUUGUAAAUAAUAGUUCGUUACAAUGUUAUAUUUAUUUUUAAGAACACGUAUUUAUGUACAACGUUGCAUAUAGUAGGAAAAUAAUAAAUAGAAAAUUCCAUCCUUAAGAAAAAACGUAAAGAGAAAUUCUUUUCAAUAUUAUUAUAAGAUUUUAUAUAUAUAUAAAAUUUUUAAUAGGUCAAGGAAUAAAGAUACGACAAUAUAACGUUUUUAUGUAUACUUCUUAACCAGUUGCGACUUGAAAUUAUUGUACAUUAGAAUGCGGCAACUUUCAGAAAUUACUCUUUUCCUUCUUGUCAUGAGCCACUAGUCACGCACUUAUGAUCUAUUAACUAUAAUGUAUAGCUCCGAUAAGAGAAUUUUGAAAACCAUUAACGUCAACUUACGAAGCUUGUGCCAAGGCCAGCGAUAUCGAUUUCUCCUUUUUAAUAUAUUUUCUUUUGACUUAUACGUACAUAUGUGUACAUGUACGUAUAACCAAUCCUAAAAUUAUAAUCUUUUCGAUCAUUUUAUGACUAUCAAUGCUUUCUUAGGCAAUCAUCGAAAAACGUUCUCUUAUUAUAAUUCUAGAAAGAAAUAAAAUUUCUCAAUUCCGCUUGAGAAUCUAUACGAAUCACGAUGUUCCAUAAAUGUGUGUAAAUUUUGUCAACUAUAGAAACAAAUUGGCUGAUUUAAAAUAAAAUAAAUCUAACUAAA